CCAAUAGCGUAUAUUAAAGUUGUUGCAGUUAAAAAGCUCGUAGUUGAAUUUCGGGAUCAAGUCGUCGGUCGUGCCUCGGUACGCACUGGUGACAUUGGUUUCUCCCUUCUGAAGAACCUUGAUGUCAUUAAUUUGGUGUCUUGGGGAAUCAGGACUGUUACUUUGAAAAAAUUAGAGUGUUUAAAGCAAGCUCACGCUUGAAUACAUUAGCAUGGAAUAAUGAAAUAGGACGUUUGAUUCUAUUUUGUUGGUUUCUAGGAUCGACGUAAUGAUUAAUAGGGAUAGUUGGGGGCAUUAGUAUUCAAUUGUCAGAGGUGAAAUUCUUGGAUUUAUUGAAGACUAACUACUGCGAAAGCAUUUGCCAAGGAUGUUUUCAUUAAUCAAGAACGAAAGUUAGGGGAUCGAAGACGAUCAGAUACCGUCGUAGUCUUAACCAUAAACUAUGCCGACUAGGGAUCGGAUGAUGUUAAUUUUUUAAUGACUCAUUCGGCGCCUUACG
rnacentral:rRNA from 1 species